UAGGUUUCAUUGUCACAAGUCAGCCCUGC
rnacentral:piRNA from 1 species